ACGGGGUUCGGCUAACGGUAGGCCGCCUGGCUUUGAAUCAGGCUGUGGAGGUUCGAAUCCUUCGCCCCGUACCA
rnacentral:tRNA from 1 species